rnacentral:rRNA from 1 species
CGCGUAGGCGGUGGGUUACGUCUGCCGUGAAAUCCCCGGGCUCAACCUGGGAAUGGCGGUGGAAACGGGCUGACUAGAGUAUGGGAGAGGGUGAUGGAAUUCCAGGUGUAGCGGUGAAAUGCGUAGAGAUCUGGAGGAACAUCAGUGGCGAAGGCGGUCACCUGGCCCAAUACUGACGCUGAGGCGCGAAAAGCGUGGGGAGCAAACAG